CCUACGGGUGGCAGCAGUGAGGAAUAUUGGUCAAUGGACGAGAGUCUGAACCAGCCAAGUAGCGUGAAGGAUGACUGUCCUAUGGGUUGUAAACUUCUUUUAUCUGGGAAUAAAAUGUUCCACGUGUGGGAGUUUGUAUGUACCAUAUGAAUAAGCAUCGGCUAACUCCGUGCCAGCAGCCGCGGUAAUACGGAGGAUCCGAGCGUUAUCCGGAUUUAUUGGGUUUAAAGGGUGCGUAGGUGGUUUGUUAAGUCAGUUGUGAAAGUCCGGGGCUCAACCGUGACAUUGCAGUUGAAACUGGCAGUCUUGAGUAGAGUAGAGGUGGGCGGAAUGCGUGGUGUAGCGGUGAAAUGCUUAGAUAUCACGCAGAACUCCGAUUGCGAAGGCAGCUCACUGGACUGCAACUGACGCUGAGGCACGAAAGUGUGGGUAUCAAACAGGAUUAGAUACCCGGGUAGUC
rnacentral:rRNA from 1 species